AGUGAACGCUGGCGGUAGGCCUAACACAUGCAAGUCGAACGGCAGCACAGUAAGAGCUUGCUCUUACGGGUGGCGAGUGGCGGACGGGUGAGGAAUACAUCGGAAUCUACUUUUUCGUGGGGGAUAACGUAGGGAAACUUACGCUAAUACCGCAUACGACCUACGGGUGAAAGCAGGGGAUCUUCGGACCUUGCGCGAUUGAAUGAGCCGAUGUCGGAUUAGAAAGUUGGAGGGGUAACGGCCCACCAAGGCGAAGAUCCGUAGCUGUUCUGGGAGGAUGAUCAUCAACACUGGAACUGAGACACGGUCCAUACUCCUACGGCAGACAGCAGUGGGGAAUAUUGGACAAUGGGCGCAAGCCUGAUCCAGCCAUACCGCGUGGGUGAAGAAGGCCUUCGGGUUGUAAAGCCCUUUUGUUGGGAAAGAAAAGCAGCAUGUUAAUACCCCGCUGUUCUGACGGUACCCAAAGAAUAAGCACCGGCUAACUUCGUG
rnacentral:rRNA from 1 species